AGAGCACAGGGCGCCAGUGGCGAAUCUGCCAAUCUUGGUGUUCUCUGGUAAAUGCCAAAUGUCCUGCACAGUGUUGGGCUGUAAGCACAACCCCCACCAGUGGAUGUCAGGCCCUCAUGGAGUCUGUUCCUGACCAUUUGAGCAGACACAUUCACAUUUGUGGCCUACUGGAGGUAAUUUUGCAGGGCUCUUGCAGUGCUCCUCCUGUUCCUCCUUGCACAAAGGCAGAGGUAGCGGUCCUGCUGCUGGGUUGUUGCCCUCCUACGGCGUCCUCCACGUCUCCUGAUGUACUGGCCUUCCU